rnacentral:rRNA from 1 species
UACGUAGGGUGCAAGCGUUAAUCGGAAUUACUGGGCGUAAAGCGUGCGCAGGCGGUUUUGUAAGUCUGACGUGAAAAUCCCCCGGGCUUAACCUGGGAAUUGCGUUGGAGACUGCAAGGCUGGAGUCUGGCAGGAGGGGGGUAGAAUUCCACGUGUAGCAGUGAAAUGCGUGAGAGAUGUGGAGGAACACCGAUGGCGAAGGCUGAGCUUGC